UCAACUGUUUGGCCUUUUGACGAAGAUCAAAUGUAUUGUCUGUCCUUGUCAGUUUAGUAUCUGAUAUACAUUGCUUCCGAGGAUGAUACAUUAAAUGGAAUUUUGAAAUAGGAGAUGGAAUAAGUGCUUGCUCCAUCUACCUAUCAUAUGCAUCGCUUCACUUUGACCUCUGCUGUUUUCCAGUAUAGUAUCU